GACGGGGGCCCGCACAAGCGGAGGAACAUGUGGUUUAAUUCGAUGAUACGCGAGGAACCUUACCCGGGCUUGAACUGCAGCAGAACGAUUGAGAGAUCAUGAGGCCCUUCGGGGCUGCUGUGGAGGUGCUGCAUGGUUGUCGUCAGCUCGUGCCGUGAGGUGUCGGCUUAAGUGCCAUAACGAGCGCAACCCCUUUCGCCAGUUGCCAUCAGGUGAUGCUGGGCACUCCGGCGACACUGCCACCGUAAGGUGUGAGGAAGGUGGGGAUGACGUCAAAUCAGCACGGCCCUUACGUCCGGGGCUACACACGUGUUACAAUGGGUGGUACAGAGAGUCAGCGGCCGGCAACGUCCGCUCAAUCAUGAAAGCCAUCCUCAGUUCGGAUUGGGGUCUGCAACCCGACCCCAUGAAGCUGGAUUCGCUAGUAAUCGCGCAUCAGCCAUGGCGCGGUGAAUACGUUCCCGGGCCUUGUACACACCGCCCGUCAAGCCAUGAAAGCCGGGGGCGCCUGAAGUCCGUGACCGCGAGGGUCGGCCUAGGGUGAAACCGGUGAUUGGGGCUAAGUCGUAACAAGGUAGCCGUACCGAAA
rnacentral:rRNA from 1 species